UUGGGGACAGAUGGGCUUUGGGGGUGGGGGCAGGACCUUGUAUAGCCAUGCUGGCAUCUGGGGCAGUGAAAGUGACCGGCAUUUCCCCGGGCUGGGGAAACCACCCUUCUGGUUCCCGUGAGGCCCCUGGCCAAAGGCGAGUGCACUGUUGCAUCGAGGCGAAGGUUGGGGGUGCACCCGCUGCCCUGCUGUGAUACUGUACCUCAAAAUAACCCCCUGUUGCCCCCCACUUUUCUAGGGGUGCUUUGUACAGAAUGCAUUGUCUGCCAACUCAUCAGCUGCUGAGCGUCCUCCUGUUCACAACUAAAAAGACAAAAGCGGGGCCGCCUUGGUAGCGAUUUUAAUAGUGAGUUGGGUUCAUUUUGGGUUUUACAAAACCAGACCCGAAGCCGAGGUGGUCGUGGAUUCAGGUUUCAUUGAAUUCGAACCCACUGUGGUUGCUGGAGGUUUGUUACUCACUGGGGAGAUGCUUUGGAUCUCAGCUAUGCAGGCGCCUGCUUUGUCCGUCCCGGGGGAGUGGGGGAGUCAUCGAGAAGGUUAUAAAGUAAGAGGCAAUGAAGGCUGAAAAAAGCCGCUGGCUUUGAAUCUUGCGGCGCGUGGCGAGGUUCAGGCCGAGUGCGGUUUGAUCACUUUCUUUCUGUAACCAAUUCUGACCUUUUGGAGGCCUCGAUCGCCUAGAAUCUCUCUCGCUAAUAAACGAGCUUUAUUUGAUC